UGGCUUGUAUCAAAAGCCCUAUUCGGACGGGAUUAGUUUUACAAGGGUAGAUGGAGUAAUGUAAUUUUUACCUCAGCACGUCUGUACUAUUAAUGGCCAAUUCGCACGGGAUAAGAAAUCUGUAAAACUACAAGAAGUGGGAGGAGUAACUCGAUUUUCGCUCCGCUGUCGCCUGCUUGUCGUCAUGUGCGUCAUGUACGUUGCUUCCUGAAUGGAUCUAACGGUUUUAUCCAACCAAAAUGUAAUAAUUUAUUACCUGUGUGUGUGUGUGUGUGUGUGUAUGCAUAUAUAUAUAUAUAUAUAUAUAUAUAUAUAUAUAUAUAUAUUAGUGCUGUCAAUCAAUUUAAAAAAAUAAUAAUAAUCACAUUUCUUUUCUGAAAUUAAUUGCAAAUAAUCCCACCCAACAUUAAAGUUUUUAAAUAUACUUUUAUAUUGCAAUAAUUUCACAUUCAAUCUUCAAAUUAAUGUACAAACAACUUAUUUUUUAAUAUUUGUUUAAUGGUGUGUUUUUUUAUGACUGAAGGCCAGUAUCACUGAUACCAAGUAAUAGGCCUGAUUUCCCUAUAAAAAAAUUUCCCCUAAUAUUUAACCAUUGACUAUGGUCAUUAAACAUUACAUUACAAGUUAUCAAACACUAAAUUCUAAACUAAAUACAGAUAAAUACUUACAGCUACUGUAACGUGUUUGUUCCGUUUUGCCCUUAUUUGGUUUGUUUCCUGUCAUUAGUUAAUCAUCGUUUAUUCAAUUCACCCGUCUUGUAUUAAUCAUCUCGUUUGCUCUUUUGAUUUAUCUGUCUUUAUAAGUCCUGUGUUCUGCCUUGGUUUUGGUCUGCUGUUAAAUGUAAUUAGUUUUUUUGCAAUUAUUAAAGACUGCUUUGAAGAUUAUCCUUGUCUCCUCGCUCCUUUGUCCCCAGCGCACCGUGACGGAACCUGACAGCUACACUGUAAAAAGUGAUAAGUUGACUUGACUUAAAAAAAUUGAGGAAAACCGUUGCCUUAAAAUGAAGUAAAUAAUUUAUAAAAAAAAAAGUUAAGUGACUUUGACAAUUCAUUUAAUUUUUUUUAUUAUUAUUUACUUUUUUAAGGCAACGGGUUUUCUCAAUUUUAAGUCGUCAACUUAUCACUUUUUACAGUGUAUAUAGAGUUAUUGAUUUCCUCUUUUUUUUUUUUUCUUUUAUCUUUGAUGAACAGACAUCACAGCAGCUGGUUAUUAGGUUGUUUUGGCUGCUAUUUUUUUAAAGAUGUAAUUUUAGAGCUGUUGCUGCUGAACAAGAUGCGGAUCUGACACUCAUCGUGUUUUCUCUCAAAUAUCUUUAACUUUUCUGACCCAUUUCAGUCUCUACUAAUGAGCUGACCAGUUGAAGCGGGUGUGUUUGAGGGAGACAGUGCUGGGCUGCUCUUUUGAAAACCAUUUCAGAGACAUGUCCUUAAUGUAACUCAUAACAUAUUACAUGCACGCACAGUUUUAAGGUAGCUUUAAUCGCCUUUUUGGUAACUUCAUGCCUUAACUGACCACGACAUUGCAUGCACGUAGUUUAUUUCACACUUUGAUAUGAAUUGAUACAGGCUACGGCGCGCCAGUUACCACGCUAAUUGACUCGCGCUGCCGCUAAAGUGAAGCUGGAGCGCGCGACUGAAACGUCUCCGGAUUGAUAUGCUCGUAAAGACGUUCUGUGACUGAAUAAAUGCACUUCUUGUCAAGAAAAAAAGAGACAGAAACAGCAGUUAUGACCCAGUAAGCAAACAAAUUUGGCCCAGACUUGGCAUGCAUCUGGCACAGUUGGCAUUCAUCCGGUACUGGCAUACAGCAUGUGGGCCAAACAUGGCCUGGGUUCGGCAGAGAUGGUACCGGGUUUAAGACGGCACACAAGACAUGGGCCAGAUGUCAAAUGCAGAUAUGUGGGCCACACAAGUAUUGCCGAUCUUGACCCAUAUUUAAAAUCCAUUUCAAAUAUUUUUGAGUAAAAUGCCAAUGUUUUCCCAUACAGAAAGGUAAUAUAUUCACAUAAAUGUGAAACUGUUAAAUAUAUUUUGAAAAUGCAUAACAUGAAGCUCAUGUUGUGUGUUAUUAUGUGUUUACUUAUAUGCAAAAUUAUAUUCAUGCCUCAUAUGAUAUUAUAUAAUAUAUGAUAUUAUAUAGUAUAUUAUAGAAUAAUAUAUUCUGUUGUUUUAUAUAUAUUCAUAUAUUCAUCUGCCAUUCAUCCGGCACUGGCAUACAGCAUGUGGGCCAAACAUGGCCCGGGUUUGGCAGAGGUGGUACCGGGUUUAAGACGGCACACAAGACAUGGGCCAGAUGUCAAAUGUAGUAUUUGGCCCAGAUGUCAAAUGCAGAUAUGUUGGCCACAUAAGUAUUGCCGAUCUUGACCCACAUUUAAAAUCCAUUUCAAAUAUUUUUGAGUAAAAUGCCAAUGUUUUCCCAUACAGAAAGGUAAUAUAUUCACAUAUAUGUGAAACACUGUUAAAUAUAUUGAAAUACAUUUUGAAAAUAUAUUUUUAAAAUGCAUAACAUAAAGCUCAUAUUGUGUUUGCAUGUGAAAUUAUAUUCAUGCCUCAUAUGAUAUUAUAUGUUAUAUUAUAGAAUAGUAUAUCCUGUUGUUUUAUUUAUAUGCAACUGACUUCAAACAAUGUUUUGCAUUCACUGCUUUCAUAUUCUCAUUCAAUUUACAGUUUGAUGUAGGCCUACUAAACAAUACAUGAUGAAAUUUCAGGACAUUUUAUUUGACUUUUGUACUAUUUAUGUAAAUGCGUAACUUUGAUGUGUUUUAGGCCAUGCUGGCCAAUCAGAAGCCUGACAAAGUUUCAAGUAGGCGGAGAUAACAGCGCAGGCUCUGACGUCACAAGCCAAAAACUCCGGUUUAGCUGUCUACAUGAUAACACUGCAGCCAGAGUUUUUUUAAAUCUUCACCCUGGCAGGAGUUUUUUUCAAAAUGUUCGGUUUCAGUGACCUGCUGCAGCGUUUGCGUGAGGACGAACGGAACAAACCGCAUAGAAAAAGCUGCUGUUUUGAAAAUAACCGCGUUCGUGUGGACGACCAAUGAGCGCGCGCGUUGAGCAUUCAAAUCACAUUUAAACUGAAGCUGAGGAGGUUACCAUGGUAACAGGGCGUCAACUCACUCAGCUGACAAGUAACGAGAAGCUGUCUCUCUGCUGUUUUCACUGCUUUCAGGUAAGUUUAGUCCCUAAAGUUACACAAAUAAUACAUACAACUGUUCCUGACACUUUCUUACAUGUUACUGACACGUUUCUGUUGAAUCUUUACUUUACAGGAGUGGUAUAGUGUCUUCAAAAAGACCGUUAGCAUCACAACCAGAUAUCAUAUAGAGACUAGAUACCCCAUUGGCCGCUGGGCGCCGAGAAAUACGGCCGCCAUCUUGAACCGGUCGUACUCCUAGUUUCGUUGCGUAGCAGCAGUUAAGAUGCCAGAGCACUGUGGAGCAUUUUCUUGUUCUAAUCGGCGAACCAUCGCAAAUAGGGUCAAGGGGAUUACUUUUCACAAGUAAUUUCAACAUUUACCGCACUAUUGGUUGUAUUUUGUGAAUAGAAUACUACCAGAUAAAUGAGAAGGAGCAAGGAUCUUUGACAUUACUACUGGAAUCGUAGUCAGCUAACGUUAGCUAGGCUGUUUACUGCACCGGCAUGGAGAGGUGGGGUAAAGUAAUAAUUACAAGAACGUCUCGGUUAUCAGAUACAAGCAUUCAACGGCCAUGUACGUUAGUAUAAAUAUAUAUUGGUAAUUUAAUUUGUGUUUGUGCACGUGAUUUCAGGAAGCAAUGUAAUACACACAUGACGACGAUACGCAAAUCGAGUUAACGUUACCCCUCCCACUUCUGCUAGUUUUAUUGAGAUAUCUUAUCCCGUGUGAAUUGGCCAUUAAUAUUACAGAGGUCCUGUGGUAAAAUUACAUUAUUACAUUAUUACUAAUCCCGUCCGAAUAGGGCUUUAGAUUAAAAUCGACACAAUAAUUCUAUGUAGAUUUUUUUUUAUUAUUAUUGGUAUGUUGCCAAACUCGCCUCUCUUGAACUACAGAAAGGGAGCACGAGAAAGAAGCUCUGCAAAACAGUCCUCUUUCAGGGGUUUUAGUGUGUUUGUGUUUGUGUGUGAGAGCGAGUGUGUGUGUGUGUGAAAGCGAGUGUGUGUGUGUGUGUGUGUGUGAGAGAGCGAGUGUGUGAAAGAGAGAAUGUGUGAGGGAGAGAUAGUGUGUGUUUGUUUGUGUGAGACAAAUCAUAAUAAAUUGUUUCUUAAACUUAUUAAAAUACCUUACUUUACUGUAACUAUCUGUUUUGCUUCUUUAUCAUAUUUAUAGUGUGUGAUUUAUAAAAUACCUUAUAUCCUACAUCACAUAUUUUGAUUUUGGACGUCUGGUCACUUUAUAUCUCAUAUCAGAAUGUUAUAUUACUGUUAAGUAUAUUAAAUGAAUAUUAAUUCCUGCUAUGAAUAUUAAAAUAUGCCGAACCAUGUGUCCUGUAUCAUAGCUACAUAUAUGACCUUUGCAGAAAAAAACCCGCGUAAAAAAUCAGUUCGGUAUUAAGUGAGGUAUGAUUAAUUAAAUGCGCUGACAGCUCAUUGCACCAGCCAAACACAUUACAGUGAAUGGAGCGGGUGACCGGUUUAAGAUGGCGGCCCCACCGCUCGUCAGCGCCAAUAGGCAGUAGCGGUCGAUAGGGCGUCUAUCUAAUAUGAUGUCUAUGAUCACAACCGUUAACUACAGAGGCUAACAAUUAGAGGUAAGGUAACUUAUAGAUUUGAGCUCUUAUUAAUGAACGUUUGAGCUUUUAAGCACCUUUUAUGUGUAGAUGAGCGGCUUUGAUAGUUUUGUAAAUGUUUUGCUGAUACUUUGUCAAUAGAUAAAUGGAAGUCACUAUAAGCUAAUUAAUUUAACCUAAAAGUCUGCACUGUGGGGUCAAUCGGUGACGUCACUUACAUGAACUAAUGGGCUGAAACUAUUUCAAACACAUUUUGAACUUUCAUUGCAAACAAAUAUUGAUCAAUUGUACUAUGAUUUCAGGAGCGUCAGAAAAAAAAUACCUAAAACAGGGGAAGUUACAAAACAAUUUGUAAUGUGAGCUGCUGACAGAGAUACAGGAAACACAGAUCUCCUGUCGAAGAACAUCUCCAAAGCACCAUGAACCAUCUGACUAGGCAGUUCGUGAAGACGGAUAACCUGGACAGAAGUCGGUUCCAGAUCCAGCCUCCACACCAGACAUCUCACUCACAAGGAUUGCUGUCUACUAGAUAUUAUGUGUACUCUUCAGACUUAGGUUCAUGCAGAUAUUAUUCAGGGACAUGAACACUUGAAUACUGCAAAAAUAGAGAAACUACCUUAUUUAAGAAUUUUGUGUUAAUUGCGUGAACAUUAAAGGGGUCAUAUAAUGCCAUUUUUGUACGAGCUAAUAUGAUUCUUUAGGGUCUAAAUUGAAAGUUUGUAAUAUACUUUAAUUAAAAAUUCUCAUUAGUAUUGUAAGAAAACACUCAUUUUACCUGCUCAAAAACAGCUCUGUUUUCAGCACACCGUUUUAGUGCGUGUGUUUUUAAAUGCUAGUGAGCUUUGC